AUACUCUGGUUUCUCUUCAAAUUGUAGAAAUCUUUUGUCCUUUACUGAAAAUUUCCGUGGAGAUGAGAAAAUUUUAAACCAGGUUUUGAGGCCUUGUUUCAGCAAGGC
rnacentral:snRNA from 1 species